GUAUGUCCUCUGAAUCACUCUGGAGACCAUUGUACUGCAUGCAGGCAGAGCUGAUGAUUCAGAGGAGUACCUGAGACUAACUAGCAGGUCAGAUUCUCCUCUGACUUAUAGGAGUGCCGUUAACUACAAUGGAGUCACUCUGGAUUUACACUGGUGCAGGUCUCCUGGGCUUCAUUUAAUGCUGCAGACAGAUGGCACUGAGGAAAUUCAGCACCUCCCUAUGAAGUAAGGAGGCAUUCUCUCCAUUUUACAGUUGGGAAACUGACACACAGGAAAGUUGUGGCUCAGGAGGUCAUAUUAGGUGAUUGCAGUGAUCCCUUCUGGCCUUGGAACCUACAAAUCUAUGAAUCAAACUGAAAGAAACCACUAAGAGGCAAUAAAACAGGUUUCCCUGGGCAUACAUCCCAUGCUUGCUGUGCUUCUUGAGAGAUGACAGCCUGAAAAUGAGUUGGCGUGAAUGACUUGCCCUGUUUGUCACAUCAUUAAGUAAUAUUUCACACCAGAGAACUUUCUUCUACGGAUGCAAAGCAACCCAAACAUUUUGUCUGGUCGGGGACUGGAAAAGAAAGGAAAGGAUUCCACUGAAAGCUUCUUGGUGGUUUGCUUUUGGGGGCGUGGGAGGGUUGGCGAUAAUUAUUGGUCUUGCAUUGUACAAAUAUAGCAAACUUUCAGCACUUGUAAACUUGUUUCCUUGGGUGUUUGGAAGUUCUGUGCUUUGUGAAUAGUUUUUUUUAGGAUUUGAGCCCAAAAACACUGUAGGCCAGUUUGUAAGAGGCCCUUGUGUGAGCAGACAUGGACAUGGCAUGCUAGAAGCCUCUCCCACAUAAUACGGCUGCACAAAAGCCUCUCACAAUAGCAGUCUCUGCACUCUUGGGAGCACAGAGAACUGUACCUCCUCCUGCUUCCCACAGAGGAUGGAGAUGAGUCAGUAGGGUUGGGGACAUUGAGGUUAUAUCUACACUGCAGCAGGGAUCAAACUCCCCACCCAGGUCAAAGGAAUCAUUCUAGCGGGGCUCAGGUUAGGGCCCUAAAAAUAGCAGGAGGUCUGUGCCGGUUCAGGCUGGAGCUCGGGCGGCUAGGUGAGAUUCAGCCUGAGCUGCAACACAGUGAUCUCUGCAUAUUGUAUUAAAUGGGUGUCUACGAUCUCUUUGGAGAACGGGUAUUCAUUCCAAGACUUCCAGUGAGUCUGCAAGAAGAUGCUGCCAGGGGAAGAGAAGGCCUGAAGAACAGGGCUUUGGGAAAGCCCAGGCCAUAAGACUAAAGCUUAUCUUCCUAUGAAUUCCCAGGCUCACGCUAUAUCCUCUGUCCCAUCCUAGUGCUUCAAAUCCCUUUCCCCGGAGUGAAACUUUCAAAGGAAACUCAAGAUUGUGAUUCUCAGGGAGUCCUCUUUCACCCUAUCCUUGAUACAGGUGAAUUUUGUGGACAGAGAGGGAGAUUUUUCAAAAUCACCUAAGGGUUUUAGGAGCACGUGGCCUAAAUAUCUUAGGCCACAGCUACACUGCAUGCUUCCUUUGGCAGCCUGCAGGGUUUGCACGCAGGUAGCCCCCCUACCAUGGAUUUAAGCUUAGGUGUAGAUGGUGAGGCAUGGCUUAGGCGAGUACAGUACAGACAUACCUGACGGGUGUACAUGCCCUAUUUGCUCAAGAUGUGUCUUCCAUUGACACUGCUAUUUUUAGCCUCCUCGGGUUGCCAGGCAUCCAGAACAACCAGUCAAAAAGGGACCCUGGCGACUCCAGUCAGCACAGCUGACCGGGCCACCAGAAGUCUGGCUGGCCACAGCGGCCAGCUUCAUGGGGCUCCCAGAAGUGGACAGCAUGUCCCUCCGGCUCCUAGGUGCAGGGGUGGGCAGGGGAGCUCUGUGCACUGCCCCUGCCUGUGGCAAAGGCGUCACCCUGAGCUCCCGCUCUGCAGCUCCCAUUGACCAGGCGCUUGCAAAUGGGGUCAGUGCACGGAGCC